rnacentral:rRNA from 1 species
UACGGAGGGUGCAAGCGUUGUCCGGAAUUAUUGGGCGUAAAGAGCUUGUAGGCGGUUUGUCGCGUCUGCUGUGAAAUUUCGGGGCUCAACCCCGAACUUGCAGUGGGUACGGGCAGACUAGAGUGUGGUAGGGGAGACCGGAAUUCCUGGUGUAGCGGUGAAAUGCGCAGAUAUCAGGAGGAACACCUGCGGCGAAGGCGGGUUGCUGGGCUGACACUGACGCUGAUGCGCGAAAGCCAGGGGAGCGAACGGG